UACGUAGGGUGCGAGCGUUAAUCGGAAUUACUGGGCGUAAAGCGUGCGCAGGCGGUUCGUUGUGUCUGCUGUGAAAGCCCCGGGCUCAACCUGGGAAUGGCAGUGGAAAGUGGCGAGCUGGAGUGUGGCAGAGGGGGGUGGAAUUCCGCGUGUAGCAGUGAAAUGCGUAGAGAUGCGGAGGAACACCGAUGGCGAAGGCAGCCCCCUGGGCUGACACUGACGCUGAGGAGCGAAAGCAUGGGGAGCGAACAGG
rnacentral:rRNA from 1 species